rnacentral:rRNA from 1 species
UGAACGCUGGCGGCGUGCCUAAUACAUGCCAGUCGAGCGAACAGACGAGGAGCUUGCUCCUCUGACGUUAGCGGCGGACGGGUGAGUAACACGUGGAUAACCUACCUAUAAGACUGGGAUAACUUCGGGAAACCGGAGCUAAUAACGGAUAAUAUAUUGAACCGCAUGGUUCAAUAGUGAAAGACGGUUUUGCUGUCACUUAUAGAUGGAUCCGCGCCGCAUUAGCUAGUUGGUAAGGUAACGGCUUACCAAGGCAACGAUGCGUAGCCGACCUGAGAGGGUGAUCGGCCACACUGGAACUGAGACACGGUCCAGACUCCUACGGGAGGCAGCAGUAGGGAAUCUUCCGCAAUGGGCGAAAGCCUGACGGAGCAACGCCGCGUGAGUGAUGAAGGUCUUCGGAUCGUAAAACUCUGUUAUUAGGGAAGAACAAAUGUGUAAGUAACUAUGCACGUCUUGACGGUACCUAAUCAGAAAGCCACGGCUAACUACGUG